rnacentral:rRNA from 1 species
AGCGAACGCUGGCGGCAGGCUUAACACAUGCAAGUCGAGCGGGCCCUUCGGGGUCAGCGGCAGACGGGUGAGUAACACGUGGGAACGUACCCUUUGGUUCGGAUUAACGCUGGGAAACUAGCGCUAAUACCGGAUACGCCCUUUUGGGGAAAGGCUUGCUGCCGAAGGAUCGGCCCGCGUCUGAUUAGCUAGUUGGUGGGGUAAUGGCCUACCAAGGCGACGAUCAGUAGCUGGUCUGAGAGGAUGAUCAGCCACACUGGGACUGAGACACGGCCCAGACUCCUACGGGAGGCAGCAGUGGGGAAUAUUGGACAAUGGGCGCAAGCCUGAUCCAGCCAUGCCGCGUGAGUGAUGAAGGCCUUAGGGUUGUAAAGCUCUUUUGUCCGGGACGAUAAUGACGGUACCGGAAGAAUAAGCCCCGGCUAACUUCGUG